rnacentral:rRNA from 1 species
AGGAAGGUGGGGAUGACGUCAAAUCAUCAUGCCCCUUAUGUCUAGGGCUACACACGUGCUACAAUGGUGAAUACAAAUAGAUGCAAUACCGCGAGGUGGAGCCAAACUAUAAAAUUCAUCCCAGUUCGGAUUGUAGUCUGAAACUCGACUACAUGAAGCCGGAGUUGCUAGUAAUCGCGAAUCAGCAUGUCGCGGUGAAUACGUUCCCGGGCCUUG